CCCCUGCCGGGAAACCCCUCCUCUCCCGAAGUGCGCAGGCGCACCGGUUGCUCGGCUACGGGGCCGGACGGAGAAGGGAGAGCGGAGCAGAGAGGAGGCCUGUGGGAACGGUGUCGUGUAUUCUCGUGUGGGCUGGAAAGUAAAGCGGUUAGAAGUCCUCUCAGGGAAGCCGAGCGCAGGACUGUACGCGGAGGGAUGUCGUAUUACUCGUCCUCCCGCAGCUCGUCCCACUCCACCGACUGCAAGGUGUACGUGGGGGACCUGGGCAGCGGGGCGGCGAAGGGCGAGCUGGAGCGGGCGUUCGGCUACUACGGGCCGCUGCGCAGCGUGUGGGUCGCCCGCAACCCCCCCGGCUUCGCCUUCGUGGAGUACGAGGACUCCCGGGACGCCGAGGACGCGGUGAAGGGCAUGGAUGGCAAGGUGCUGUGCGGCUCCCGGAUCCGCGUGGAGCUGUCGACGGGCGUCUCUCGGAAGACACGCUACGGGCGCCCCAGCCGGCGGCACUUUGACCCCAACGACCGUUGCUACCAGUGUGGGGAGAGAGGCCACUACGCCUACGACUGCUACCGCUUCAGCAAGAGGGGCGGCAGCCGGCGCAGCAGGUCUCGCUCCAGGUCCCGGUCCCGCUCCAGGUCCCGGUCCAGGUCCCGAGGACGUCGCUAUCGCUCUCGCAGCAGGAGCCGCAACCGGUCCGCUUCCCCGGCUCGCUCUAGGUCCAGAACUCCGGUGCGCAGUCGCUCCCGAUCUCGCUCCAGGUCACGCUCCUUGUCUCGCUCCAAGGGGCGCUCUGCCUCCCGGUCCCGGUCUCGCUCCCGGUCCCGCUCGCGCUCCCGGUCCCACUCAGCCAGCGCCAAACGAGAAAGGUCAUCCAUCCAAGAAUGACCUGGCCAGACCUUGCUUAGCUUCACAGGGGGAGCGAGAGCUGACGAGCGAUCAGACUCCGAGAUGGUGUUGAAGGCUGGAGGUUGUCUUGUUUCACGCCCACUCCCCCCUCCCUGCCUCAGAUCCAGCCCCAAACUCGAUUUAGCUUCCGAGAGGGGGGAAAAGAGAAAUCUUGACGUGAUCAGACUCCAGCGCUGUUUGGCUGCGGGCUUUAGAGGGGGUUUCGUCCGGCGCAAGUACUGACCAGGUUCAUCCUUGCUUUGUCAUUUCUGUGAGAGCUGACCCGAGAGAUCAGACUCCAAGAGGGCUACGGCCGUCCACGUGCUAGAAGGGGGUCAUCCGUCGCACGUUCUGAGCACAGCGCCCCCUCUUCUUCCCCCCACUCUCCCCCUCCUGUCUUCUCCUGCCGUGAGAGCUCAGAUCCCCAGAUCGCAAUGGCCAGCUCCAGCCACUCGGCACAGCCCAGCCUUGCUUAGCUUCUGAGAGAGACAGAGAGGGAGAGAGGCAGAAAGAGAGAACGUGCUGACCAGAGAUCAGCCUUCAAGACCUCCAGUGUUUGUCUUCAAGUACUUGCGUCGCGUCUCUGUUCAUGUUGCUCUGAGUAUCCACCACUUUGCAAAGCCGCUCCCGGUCGCCCAGCCCCAGGAAGAGCCUGACACCCGACGCCAAGUGAGCGAGGACCUGUGCCACCGGCCCUGCCGUCGCGUCCGGCGGCCACCUGUCCUGUAAUCAUUUUAACCCCCCGAGCUCCCCCCUGUCCCAGCAGCCCUAGUGGUUUUGUUUCAAUCCCGUCCUCUUGCGCCGCCUCUGCCGCAACACAUUCCACAUCCUUUAUUUCCUCCUGGGGAAAAAAUAACGAAGAACUGGACGGAUGUCAACACCAAAUACACGUUUGUCCGAAAUCGGCUUGUUUUUGUUUCUUGUGAUUUUUUUUUUUCCCCCCUGAAUGUGUGCAGUUUUUACGCGGCAUACUACCAUGUGUUAGAAGCCUGUCUCCUACACGUGAGCCCCUUUGCUGACUGUAGGACGUUUUAA